UCUGGGGAUUUUACUGUGCAGUUUUUAUUCUUUCUGAUCUAUAUAGGUGUCAGAAAAUAUGAGAUAUACAUAGAUAAUACUGUGUUAUCAAAUACUGAUGUUCAAUGCCAGGCUAGUAAUUUUACAUUUUGAAAUGGCAGAAGACCAAGAGGGAUUUUGAAAGGUCACCUAGCCCCUGUUUCCUACCUCUGUAUCUCCUCAGAAGAAGGGCACAUUUACUCAGUCUCUAAAGACAAGACUGCAAAGAUAUGGCACAUUAAGGAUGAGACAUGUCUGUUUACUGCCAAUCCAGAUGCAAGUAACAUCCAGGGAGAAUUGUCUGCAUGCCUCUACUCUUCAGCUGUAAAGGGGCUCUACAUUGCCUCAGAUUCUCUCGCCUUACUAUCCCUUCAGAAAAAACCACAAUCAAUUGGGCAAUCAGAUUCUGUCCCAUGUGCUGUGCUGUGGAUACAGUGAGGAGUUUAAGCAGGUGGUGAGCUGCUCUCAGGGCUCGGCUAGUGACUAGUGGAAUAGACAGUUGCCUUAAGAUGUGGAACUUCAACAAUGGCCAGUGUGUGAAGAUACUCAAGAAAGAUGGAAAUUGUGACCAGAUUUGUGACUGCCUCUAUCUGAAGCUGCACAGGAAAGCGUGAGUCUCUGCUGACUGUGAUCCUCAUGGAUAUUAUCCUCCUCAUUUUUUGGCUGAGGUGCUUUUUUAUUUGUUUUGGGAGAUUUGUGGUUUCUGUAGGUUGGGACCGCAGGAUUGACGUUUAU